UAGGGAAUUUUCGGCAAUGAGGGGAACCUUUGACCGAGCAACGCCGCGUGAACGAGGAAGGUCUUUGGAUCGCAGAGUUCUGUUGUAAGGGAAGAACACUAUAGAUAGGGAAUGAUCUAUAGCUGACGGUACCUUGCCAGAAAGCCACGGCUAACUACGUGCCAGCAGCCGCGGUAAUACGUAGGUGGCGAGCGUUAUCCGGAAUCAUUGGGCGUAAAGGGUGCGUAGGCGGCAGAUUAAGUUUGUGGUGAAAGAGCAAGGCUCAACCUUGUUAAGCCACAAAAACUGGUCAGCUAGAGUGCAGUAGAGGCAAGUGGAAUUCCAUGUGUAGCGGGUAAAAUGUGUAGAUAUAUGGAGGAACACCGGUGGCGAAGGCGGCUUGCUGGGGCUGUAACUGACGCUGAGGCA
rnacentral:rRNA from 1 species